GCCUGGAUGGCUCAGUCGGUUAAGUGUCUGACUUUGGCUCAGGUCAUGAUCUCGUGGUUCAUGGGUUCAGGCCCCAUGUCAGGCU
rfam:Felis catus isolate Cinnamon breed Abyssinian chromosome X, whole genome shotgun sequence.